CUUGAGUGAUAGUUCAGUGACCUGGAAGUGAUGUAGCCUCCAAGACAUUUUUUUUCCCCCACCUGGUCAACACCAUGAAUUUUGAGCCCCAAACAGGUUAUUUCUGCUGUCUGUGGUGUCUACUGAGGAUCUAAAGAACCUGUGGAACAUCAGAGACUUUGCAGCUACUGGAGCUAACCUUUGUACUGCUAUUGCUACAGAGGAAGCAGCAGAAAGCUGAGCUAACAGGCUGUUUUGCAGGUAAAUACUCUUUUAGUGGAACUGCAGGAUUUUUAUGGUAUAACUCAGACAGAAUCUACAUGAGCUAUUGUGGGAAGACAUUUAAACUACAUUUACAUACAGAUACAUGUAUUUUUUUAUUCCAUGUUACUUGGACGGGCUAAACAAGUUCAUAGUUCUGCCUGCUCCUUUUUCAGUGAAACGAAUGGAUUUUAUGAUGUAACUCUGACUGAAUAAUUAUCUAAAUUGAAAACUGCUGCAUUGCAUUACAAUGGAAGUGCUACACAGCCACAUGCAUCAACUGCAGCUGUUGACAAGCAUAUGGACCUAUUGUUCGAGUCCGUGGUGGUGGAUGCUCUAUCAUAUCAGGAGUCGGUGGUGGUGGAUGCUCUACCAUAUCAGGAGUCUGACUAAGUACCUGUGCCUGAACCUCUCUGUGUCUAGUUCAAAAGACCUGAAA